GGCCAUAUCACGUUGAUACAUUGGUUCUCGUAGGUUCACCGAAGUUAAGCAACGUGAAAAUUGGUCAGUACCCAGAUGGGUGACCGCUUGGGAAUACCAGGUGCUGUAC